AGUCGACGAUGAAUCUUCUAGCUUGCUAGAAGUGGAUUAGUGGCGCACGGGUGAGUAAUGCAUAGGUUAUGUGCCCUUUAGUCUGGGAUAGCCACUGGAAACGGUGAUUAAUACUGGAUACUCCCUACGGGGGAAAGUUUUUCGCUAAAGGAUCAGCCUAUGUCCUAUCAGCUUGUUGGUGAGGUAAUGGCUCACCAAGGCUAUGACGGGUAUCCGGCCUGAGAGGGUGAUCGGACACACUGGAACUGAGACACGGUCCAGACUCCUACGGGAGGCAGCAGUAGGGAAUAUUGCUCAAUGGGGGAAACCCUGAAGCAGCAACGCCGCGUGGAGGAUGAAGGUUUUAGGAUUGUAAACUCCUUUUGUUAGAGAAGAUUAUGACGGUAUCUAACGAAUAAGCACCGGCUAACUCCGUGCCAGCAGCCGCGGUAAUACGGAGGGUGCAAGCGUUACUCGGAAUCACUGGGCGUAAAGAGUGCGUAGGCGGGGUAAUAAGUCAGAUGUGAAAUCCUGUAGCUUAACUACAGAACUGCAUUUGAAACUGUUACUCUGGAGUGUGGGAGAGGUAGGUGGAAUUCUUGGUGUAGGGGUAAAAUCCGUAGAGAUCAAGAGGAAUACUCAUUGCGAAGGCGACCUGCUGGAACAUUACUGACGCUGAUGCACGAAAGCGUGGGGAGCAAACAGGAUUAGAUACCCUGGUAGUCCACGCCCUAAACGAUGGAUGCUAGUUGUAGCCUUGCUUGUCAGGGCAGUAAUGCAGCUAACGCAUUAAGCAUCCCGCCUGGGGAGUACGGUCGCAAGAUUAAAACUCAAAGGAAUAGACGGGGACCCGCACAAGCGGUGGAGCAUGUGGUUUAAUUCGAAGAUACGCGAAGAACCUUACCUAGGCUUGACAUUGAUAG
rnacentral:rRNA from 1 species